rnacentral:lncRNA from 1 species
GCAUUUGUUACAUAUAAUACCAUAUUCAAAAAAGGUUUCGAAAAUUGUUUUUUGUUGUUUUGAAACUUGUAUACAAUGGCCUUAUUUUAAGUUAUGUGUAUAUUACACCCGCAACAUGUAGGCUUCAUUUCUAUAGAAUUAAUUCUCGUGUUAUUGGUUAUGUGCAGGCACCUACAUCAGUUUGACGGCAGUUGUCCCUUGAAUAUAUGUAAUAAAUAUAAACACAUGAAUAGAAAGUAAGUCAAGAGUAUGGAAGUCAUAGGAUUGCACACAAUAAGCGAUACAUUAUUUUUUCUUUGAUACAUGUAAAAUGAUUAUACUAGUAAACUAUAUAGUCAAAAUGAACCAGAAUGACUCUAUGAAUUAAGCAAACAUCCGAAAAAAUAUAAUAGAAACAUUAAAAUUUAAUAUAACAACAC